rnacentral:ncRNA from 1 species
UAUGGCCUCUGGUUAGCGAUUAUCGGAAACGGUAUGUCGCGCAGCUACGCCGUCUGGGAUAAUGGCUGAAAGCUCUAAGCCAGAAGCCCAUCUAGAAAGUGAUGCACGUGAUGUUGGACCGAUACGAAUAAUCAUACUCAAAAGGUCCGCUUCAUAGGUAACCCAAUGUAGAAGACAUUGUGUGAACGAAGGUACUGUAAGCAGUGGAGUGGCAUUACGUCCACGACCUGUUGAGGUCAGCUUCGCUUCUAGGUUUCCAAAUAUUUUGG